rnacentral:lncRNA from 10 species
UGAAACCCCAUCUCUAUUAAAAAUAAAAAAAAAUAGCCGGGUGUGGUGGCGUGCACCUAUAAUCCCAGCUACUUGGGAGGCUGAGGUAUGAGAAUCGCUUGAACCUGGGAAGCAGAGAUGUCAGCGAGCCAAGAUCACCCCACCACUGCACUCCAGCCUCAGAGACAGAGCGAGACUUCGUCUCAAGAAAAAAACCAAUUCAGUUUUAAGUUGAUUCCAAUUUGGUUCCUCCAAAUAUAAGGAUUUCUUUAGGAUCCAGAGAAGACAGCUAAGAGGAGGAAAGCAUCUUCUCCCUUCAACUAUAGCAUCCAAAUCUACAACCCAGGAAAGUGUAUGAUGGCUGGACACAGUGGCUCACACCUGUAAUCCCAACACUUUGCGAGGCUGAGGUGGGAGGAUUGCUUGAGCCCAGGAGAUGGAGACCAGCCUGGGCAAUAUAGUGAGAUCUCAUCUCUAUUAAAUUAGAAACAAAAAAAUUUUUAAAAAUUUAAAAACAGAAAGUAUACUAAGAGAAGAAAUUUAAAAAUUAAAAAAAAAUUUUUUUCAAAGCCCCUAUCCAAAGCUGUUGUGGAAUAUUGUGGUGUUUACUUUUCAAAUACUGGAGCGCUUGUUCUUUAUAACUAUUCUUGGGAAAGAUGGAACUACUGCAUUACCCUAGGUAAACGUUUGGGCUGAUUGGAAGGGCGGGGCCAGAAAGUAUUAAAUCCUAUUCAAAGAAAUGAGAGGGGCUGGAAAAGUGUGAACAUUCUCCAAAAUAGACCCCAGUGAAACGUAAUUACAAUUCAUCAGAUACUCUGCAUUUUCUUCUCCAAAGAAUUCUACAGAACGUUGUGGUUUAAAUGAAAUGCAUCAAAGCUGGUAUCUAGUUACAUUAAACACUAAUUUGACUCCUUGGUUUGUUCUCUGCUGGAAGCUUUCUGGUUGUGUAUACUUCACUUCCCAAAUGAAUUUUCCCCAGAGGCAUCAGGGAAGCAGAAAACCUUUCUCUGGAGGCUCCUCUUCUAAUUUUUGCCUCUUACCUUUUGUAAAAUAGUUCCUUUAAGCUGUUUCACAGUGUGAGAUUUAAUUACAUUCUGGAUUGCUCUUUUCUGGUCCUUACUUGCUGCUACUGAUUUGAUCGAAACCCCCACGUAGAGAUUUUUAUUGAGUCCUGAGAUCUAAGACAUCCAAAUCAAAUUUUGGAAAACCUUGUGUUCUUAAUAAAGUUCUCUACUUUCUCAGCAUACUUUUCUUACAUUGAAUUAAUAAAGUUUUGGUAGUUGUUUAAAUAGAUUAAAUGUCACCCUUUAAAUAGAAAGAGAAGGCUCUACCUAACUGACCUAUUUUUCAUCUGUGAUUUAGAAAAAGGCAAGAUUAGCAUGGAUAUUGCAUUUUCAAGGACCUUACCACUAUUAAAUAGACUGUUAAGUGCAUUUUAUGGCUGAAGAGUCUGUUCCCAGUUCAGUCUACGAGACAUGCUAAGUUCAUCUCUACCUGCUACAUUGAACAUUCACUGACUAAAAUACUUUGUGUGGAUCUAAUACCUAUGCUCUGUAUCUUUUAAAUACAUAACUCUAAAUAUUUUAGGACUAGUAAAAUGUAAUUCAGUAACAGUCCUAAGAAUAUGUAUUGUCCCGCAAGAAAAAUAUAGUGUUCAUAUUUAUCCAAUGAUAUACAUCCUUUGCUCCAUUAACACCUGCAUAUCAUAAGUGACCGGAUGUUGAAAAAUAACACAGGCACUCAUAAAAUAAGAGUCUUAUUUAAAUCAAGAAAGCAAGAAUAGCUGAUUAAAACUCCAUCCUCACAUUGACUCAACUUGUUCUCAGGGUUUCAAGGCUAUGAGAGAAGUAGUUUAUGGACCUAUAUUCCAAACUGAACAGAACAGGUAUUUUACCAUUCAUUCUUACUGACAUUCAGGCAAAUUUUAGGGUUUUUUUUGUUUGUUUCGUUUUGUUUUGUUUUUUUAGAGGAACUUCUGCCUAGCCAUUUUGCCUUCUUUUAAGGUGGUUUUUGAA